rnacentral:rRNA from 1 species
UACGGGGGGGGUAAGCGUUGUUCGGAAUUACUGGGCGUAAAGGGCUCGUAGGCGGCCAACUAAGUCAUACGUGAAAUCCCUCAGCUUAACUGGGGAACUGCGUGUGAUACUGGAUGGCUUGGAUUUGGGAGAGGGAUGCGGAAUUCCAGGUGUAGCGGUGAAAUGCGUAGAUAUCUGGAGGAACACCGGUGGCGAAGGCGGCAUCUUGGACCAAUAUUGACGCUGAGGUGCGAAAGCGUGGGGAGCAAACAGG